UAGAUUAGAUUGAUCACUCCGUGCCAGCACAACACACGUAGCAGUCGCCGUGAGACACCGGCCGGAGCACGAGAGUGCAUGUUCAUCUUGCUCCCUUCAUUUCAGGGAAGUGACGGAGACGGCGCCCUACUUACGGAAAGCACUGCCGAUCCAGUAGGAGUGUCCCACACAUCAGAAUCACUCGUAGCCGUUCUUCAUGCAUCGAUUGGACUUUGAC
rnacentral:lncRNA from 1 species